CAGCGGUGCCAGGCCAGGCUGGGCGCUCCCUGGCAAGGCAUAUCAGCUUGGCAUGCCAGCGCCUCCGUGACUUGCUUCCUGACAACUCCAUGGGGCAGAGCCCUUCGCCAGCAGUGUUUGGCCACGCACUCCGAGUCCUGCAUGGCCUCAGUGAGGAAAUACAGCGUCACCUCAGAGACCUUCAGAGGGAGAGGGAGGCCCAGAGGUGCUCUGUCCUCCACCUUUGGAGAGAGAAGAGACAAAGCAAAUAUCCAUACUUCUGCUCCACCUCUUCCCUGUCCUCAAGCACCAUGCCCUGCCUCCGGCAGCAAAACUUCAGGCGCUUCAGAGUCCUCCACCAAAUCCAAAACUGCAUGCAAGAGCUACAGGCAGAGAACACCACCCGCCGCACGGGCAACCUGGAGAACCUGACUGUCCUGACAGGAGAGCUGGGCACGCAGCAAGAGAAAAGGUAUGGGGACACCCUGGGUAGGUGUGACUAUCUCUUGCCACAGCCUCAUGAAAGGAUGAGUCCAAAGCAAGCAAGUGAUGCAGAGCACCACUGCAGCAUGCCCAGCCCAGCUGGGACAUGUAGCCUGCGUCAAGUGCACAGAGCACUCCAAGGAGACAGUGAAGCGCAGUGA
rnacentral:lncRNA from 1 species